rnacentral:rRNA from 1 species
UACAGAGGUCUCAAGCGUUGUUCGGAUUCAUUGGGCGUAAAGGGUGUGUAGGUGGCGCGCUAAGUCGGGUGUGAAAUUUCGGAGCUUAACUCCGAAACUGCAUUCGAUACUGGCGUGCUUGAGGACUGGAGAGGAGACUGGAAUUCAUGGUGUAGCAGUGAAAUGCGUAGAGAUCAAUGAGGAAGACCAGUGGCGAAGGCGGGUCUCUGGACAGUUCCUGACGCUGAGGCACGAAGGUCAGGGGAGCAAACAGG